rnacentral:rRNA from 1 species
AGUGAACGCUGGCGGUAGGCCUAACACAUGCGAGUCGAACGGCAGCACAGUAAUAGCUUGCUCUUACGGGUGGCGAGUGGCGGACGGGGGAGGAAUACAUCGGAAUCUACUUUUUCGUGGGGGAUAACGUAGGGAAACUUACGCUAAUACCGCAUACGACCUACGGGUGAAAGCAGGGGAUCUUCGGACCUUGCGCGAUUGAAUGAGCCGAUGUCGGAUUAGCUAGUUGGCGGGGUAAAGGCCCACCAAGGCGACGAUCCGUAGCUGGUCUGAGAGGAUGAUCAGCCACACUGGAACUGAGACACGGUCCAGACUCCUACGGGAGGCAGCAGUGGGGAAUAUUGGACAAUGGGCGCAAGCCUGAUCCAGCCAUACCGCGUGGGUGAAGAAGGCCUUCGGGUUGUAAAGCCCUUUUGUUGGGAAAGAAAAGCAGCAGGUUAAUACCCCGCUGUUCUGACGGUACCCAAAGAAUAAGCACCGGCUAACUUCGUG